GCGGUGAGGUUCGGUCGCUUUCCGGCAGUGCCGGGGAGAGGAAAGUCCGGACUCCGCAGGGCAGGACGUCCCGUGGUUAACGCGGGAGGCCCUUCGCAAGAACGAAGGGUACGGAAAGUGCCGCAGAAAACAGACCGCCCGCCGAAGCUUUAGCUGAGACGGGUAAGGGUGAAAAGGUGGGGUAAGAGCCCACCGCCCCGAGGGUGACCGAGGGGGCAGGGUAAACCCCGUCCGGAGCAAGAUCGAAUAGGGGACGAGAGGCGGCCCGUCUCGUCAGGAGUCCCGGGUAGAUCGCACUAGAUAAAUGACCGAUAACCGCUUUAUGCGGGAGACAGAAUCCGGCUUACCGCCUCACCUUUUUU
rnacentral:RNase_P_RNA from 1 species